rnacentral:tRNA from 1 species
GGUGGCUCAGUGGUAGAGCACUUGCCUACCAUGCAUGAGGCCCUGGGUUCAAUUCCUCAGCACCA